rnacentral:rRNA from 1 species
GAGGAAAAGAAACUAACAAGGAUUCCCCUAGUAACUGCGAGUGAAGCGGGAAAAGCUCAAAUUUUGAAUCUGGCAGUCAUUUAGGCUGUCCGAAUUGUAAUCUAGAGAAGCGUCUUCCGCGCUGGCCCGUGUACAAGUCUCCUGGAAGGGAGCGUCAUAGAGGGUGAGAAUCCCGUCUUUGACAUGGACUACCAGUGCUUAUGUGAUGCGCUCUCGACGAGUCGAGUUGUUUGGGAAUGCAGCUCAAAAUGGGUGGUAAAUUCCAUCUAAAGCUAAAUACAGGCGAGAGACCGAUAGCGAACAAGUACCGUGAGGGAAAGAUGAAAAGAACUUUGAAAAGAGAGUUAAAUAGUAUGUGAAAUUGCUGAAAGGGAAACGCUUGAUGUCAGUCGCGUUGAUUAGGGAUCAACCCUUAAUCUGGUGUAAUUCCUAGUUGACGGGUCAGCAUCAGCUCUGGUCAUUAUAUAAAGGCAAGGGGAAAGUAACACUCUUUCGGGAGUGUGAUUAUAGACCUUUGUUGGAUGUAGUGGUUGGGGCUGAGGAACUCUGCACGGACUUUACGGUUUUGUGCAAGGGAUGCUGGCAUAAUGGCC